rnacentral:rRNA from 1 species
CAAUAGCGUAUAUUAAAGUUGUUGCAGUUAAAAAGCUCGUAGUUGAACUUCUGUCUGUAUGUCAACCCUACAAGGAUCUGAUAAGACGGGCAUCCCCGAUCGACGGUUUACUGUACUUAAGUGUUCAUAUAACCUGAACCGGAUUUUACUUUGAAAAAUUAGAGUGUUUCAAGCAGGCGAUUUGCUGGAAUACAUUAGCAUGGAAUAAUAAGAUAGGACUUUGGUACUAUUUUGUUGGUUUGCAUACCGAGGUAAUGAUUAACAGGAACGGUUGGGGGUAUUGCUAUUUACAUGUCAGAGGUGAAAUUCUUGGAUUUUGGAAAGAGCAACAUCGGCGAAAGCAUUUACCAAGGAUGUUUUCAUUAAUCAAGAACGAAAGUUAGGGGAUCGAAGAUGAUCAGAUACCGU